UACGGGGGGGGCAAGCGUUGUUCGGAAUUACUGGGCGUAAAGGGUUCGUAGGUGGCCUGCUAAGUCAGACGUGAAAUCCCUCAGCUUAACUGGGGAACUGCGUCUGAUACUGGUGGGCUUGAGUGCAGGAGAGGAACGCGGAAUUCCAGGUGUAGCGGUGAAAUGCGUAGAUAUCAGGAGGAACGCCUGUGGUGUAGACAGCUUACUGGACCACUUCUGACGCUGAGACACGAAAGCGUGGGUAGCAAACAGG
rnacentral:rRNA from 1 species